rnacentral:rRNA from 1 species
UACAGGAGGGUGCAAGCGUUAAUCGGAUUUACUGGGCGUAAAGCGCGCGUAGGCGGCCUAAUUAAGUCAAAUGUGAAAUCCCCGAAGCCUUAAGCUUGGGAAUUCGCAUUCGAGUACUGGUUAGCGUAGAGUGGUGGGAGAGGAUGGUAGAAUUCCAGGUGUAGCGGUAGAAAUGCGUAGAGAUCUGGAGGAAUACCGAUGGCGAAGGCAGCCAUCUGGCCUAACACUGACGCUGAGGUGCGAAAGCAUGGGGAGACAAACAGGG